rnacentral:rRNA from 1 species
UACCGCGUGUGUGAAGAAGGCCUGAGGGUUGUAAAGCACUUUCAAUAGGGAGGAAAAAGCGUUGGUUAAUAGCUGAUGCCUUGACAUUACCUAUAGAAGAAGCACCGGCUAACUCCGUGCCAGCAGCCGCGGUAAUACGGAGGGUGCGAGCGUUAAUCGGAAUUACUGGGCGUAAAGCGUGCGUAGGCGGCUGUUUAAGUCAGAUGUGAAAGCCCCGGGCUUAACCUGGGAACGGCAUUUGAUACUGGGCAGCUAGAGUUUAGGAGAGGAGAGUGGAAUUUCCGGUGUAGCGGUGAAAUGCGUAGAGAUCGGAAGGAACACCAGUGGCGAAGGCGGCUCUCUGGCCUAAAACUGACGCUGAGGUACGAAAGCGUGGGUAGCAAACAGGAUUAGAUACCCUGGUAGUCCACGCCGUAAACGAUGUCAACUAGCCGUUGGGUCUUUAUUAAGACUUAGUGGUGCAGCUAACGCAUUAAGUUGACCGCCUGGGGAGUACGGCCGCAAGGUUAAAACUCAAAUGAAUUGACGGGGGCCCGCACAAGCGGUGGAGCAUGUGGUUUAAUUCGAUGCAACGCGAAGAACCUUACCUACCCUUGACAUCCAGAGAAUCUGUGAGAGAU